CCUACGGGGGGCAGCAGUGGGGAAUAUUUCACAAUGGGGGAAACCCUGUUGCAGCAACGCCGCGUGAGCGAUGAAGGCCUUCGGGUCGUAAAGCUCUGUCCUAAGGGAAGAAUACUCACGGUACCUUCGAAGGAAGCCCCGGCUAACUACGUGACAGCAGCCGCGGUAAAACGGAGGGGGCUAGCGUUAUCCGGAAUUACUGGGCGUAAAGGGUGAGUGGGCGGCCCUUUAAGUCAGAGGUGAAAGGCUACGAGUGAACGGUAGUAAGCCUUUGAAAAUGUAGGGCUUGAGUACAGGAGAGGAGGGUUGAAUUCCGAGUGUAGCGGGGAAAAGCGUAGAUAUUGGGAGGAACACCAGUUGCGAAGGCGGCUCUCUGGACUGUAACUGACGAUGGGGCACGAAAGCUUGGGGAGCGACCAGGAUUCGAUACCCGUGUAGUC
rnacentral:rRNA from 1 species